rnacentral:sRNA from 1 species
AAUUAAAGGAGGAACCUAAAGAAUAAAAAGGAGAAGUUUUGAUAAAAAGAUAUUGUGAUAAACGGCGGAUAAGUUUCUAAGAAUAAAAACUGUAAUCUUUUGGAAAGAAAAAGGAAAAGUUUUUUAGAAACAAAUGAGAGUCCCUAAACAAAUUUAACAGAAAUUUAAAGUAACUAAGGGGAUAGUUUU